AUGGGUUACACUUUCUCAAUUUUGAUGGAGAUUGGUUGUAGUGUCUCUAUUAUAGAGGUUUGGCUUGUCGGUCACACAGAGUAUUGUAUUGGACAAGUGAAUACAGCAGAUGAAAGAGAUAUGUUUUGGAUGGCAUGCCCAUCAUGGACAAGUGGAAAGCAGUUGGCAUUACAACAUGUGCUUGGGCCCAAUAGGCACGCAUGUGGGGAGCCACCAUUAUAAAAAUCCUAAUUCUAGGGUUUAUUGAGGGAUCUAUUUAAGCACACUUGCCUAAGCAAAAAAUGGUGGUUAGAAAAAGAGUUGGCCUUCCUCAUUGCCAACCAAACACAAAGGAGAAACCAUAGCCACUACAAGAAUUUUGGUCUUUUGCGACCAAUGUUUUAGCGACAACCAAAAAGUCGUCACUAUUAGGCACACAUUAGCAACGAUAAUAUAUGGUCAUCGCUAAUAAAUGUAUAGUAAUGACGACACUAAGGUAGUCGCUAAUAAGUCGUCGCUAAUGCCAUGGAGGGAAUUUUAUUUACUUUUGGAAAAUGGAGGGAAACUUUUAGUAACGACAAUAAAUUUUGUAGCGAUGACAUUUACGUCACUAAAAGAGGGUUUAUUUUAGCGACGACAUCAAUCAUCGCUAAUAAUCAUCUUUAGUGACGACCUUGUGUUUCAUCACAAAUAUGUGACAAAAAAUAUCUAGUAAAUAUAUUAUAUAUAUGCUUUAUUUAUCAGCGAUGACACAUUGGUUGUCGCUAUUAGAAGGCUAUUAAUGAUGAUAUAAUUUAUCGUCUCUAAUAAUCACCUUUUAGCAACGACACAACAUGUCGUCACAAAUAUAUCUACCUAAAUAUAAUGGAGGGGAAAAUUUUCACUCUCAAAAAGUGGUUGGAAUUAUUGGAGGGAAGCAGAUUAUAUAUUAGCAACGAAUUAGGUCGUCGCUAUAAGGGAUCUUUUAAUGAAGACAAAGAUUGUCGUCUCUAAUAUGUGGCCAAAAUAAUUUUGAUAUAAAAUGAUUUUUUAUUUAUUUCUCAAAUCCUCCAAAUGGCUCUUAAAAUAUUUAAAAUGACAUAAAUUCCUUUAGAAUAUUUGAAAUAAUUAAAAUACCAUUAACCUCGUCAAAAUGACCAAAAUACCCCCAAACUUAUAUAAUGACCAAAAUAACCUUGAAACCUCUAAAGUAAUUUAAAACUCUCAAAUCUUUUUUUUUUUUUUUUUAAAUGAGACAAGGGAGGGGUUAUUGCUUCAAAAUACUCUCAACUCAUAAUGUUACCCGUUUGAAACUCGAAAACGAUAAAAUAACAAAAAUUGAGAAAGUUCAAAUUCCACUCAAAAUAUUGACUAAUUCCAAUAGUUAUCAAAAUGUGAAUUGUAUCGUGAAUCAAUUUUUGGAUUUUUUUUUUUAUCAUGUAUCAUAAGAAAGGUAUUAGUCAAUAUUUACCAAAAUAAUAAAUUCAUUAUAAAUAUAUGAAAGGCAUAUUUAUUAUUUGGGGGGGGGGGGGGGGGGGCCCAGGGGGGGGGGGGGGGGAGGCCCAACCAUACGUAGUGGGCCUAAAGCCCAGUGUGAAGGUUAUUGUAGGUCCGAAGAGGCUGAAAUUGUCGGGGGAUACUUCGCGUGAAAGAAGGAUAUAUGGUGACAAAGAGACUCCGUCCGAAGAGAGCAUCAGUAUUCCGAAGAGAUCAUUAUCCUUGGGUGUAAAGAUUCUGGGUCAUAUAAAUAUCUGGAGGGUUCGAAUGAGCUUACUAGUGGCUUCGGCAGUCUAGAUAAGUUUUGGACACGCUAGAGAUAAUAAGAGUGGAGAAAUAUCUAAAAGGAAAAGCUACCACCACCGUAUUAAAUGCACUACAACUACUUUUCUGGCCGCAUUUAUGUGGAGAAGACCUCUGAACAGUACAACUUCAGCUACCGCUAUUCACAAAAGUUGAGAGAGAUACAUAACAUGACAUGUACUCAAGUAGGGAGUUAGAUAAAGAACAAGUGGACGAUGGGGAUGAUUGGGGAGGAUGCUAUAUAAAGAAGAAGGGCUCUUAAAAGGAGGGAGGUCUAAUUGGAAGAAAGGGAAUUGUAACCUGUAUUCAAUCUAUCAUAAGUUUCUUCGGACUUAAACUUACUUGGUCUUAACGUAUACUUGUAUGCUGUGAUCAACUGUUGUAAACUCCAUAGUUAACCUAGUUUUAUCAUCCACGCUCUACAAAUUUAUUGUUUUUGCGCUUGAACCACAAAUCCUAACCCUACAAUUAUAAAUUCAUAAUAUAUUCAAAUCUAAGUAUAGUACGUGAUGGAUGGACAUAUGUUGUGUACUUGUAUGGCUAUGUUAUCUCAAUUUGACCAUCCAAUUGGUCUCAAAUUUCACCAACACCAAUAUGUCACCAUACUCUUCAAUCCUAAUGAUCAAGAUUUGAAUAUGAAUUUCAUAAAUCCAGUGGUUUUGGGUCCAUUUAUUAAGUUUGAUCGGGUUUGACCAACUUUAACUAAACUUUGACUAUGCCUUUCUCUAAAUCUAACCAUUUGAUUCUGACCAUAAUUUACUAGAAUUAACCUUUCAUUACACUCUUCGAAUUCAACAGUUAGAUUUUAGAUCUAAGUAUGGCACGUGACAGACAUAUGUUGUGUACCUGAAUGGCUAUGUUCUCUCAAUCUGACCACCUAAUUGGUCUCAAAUUUCACCAACACUAAUAUGUCACCGUACUCUUCAAUCCUAAUGAUCAAGAUUUGAAUAUGAAUUUCACCAAGUCCAGUGGUCUCGGGACCAUCUACUAAGUUUGAUCAGGUUUGAUCAAUUUUAACUUAACUUUGACCACGCCUUUUUCUAAAUCCAACCAUUUGAUUGUGACCAUAAUUUACUGGAAUUAACCUUUCAUUACACUUUUUGAAUCCAACAGUUAGAUUUCAAAUCUAAGUAUGGCAUGUGAUGGAUGGACAUGUGAAAUCUAAGUAUGGUACGUGAUGAAUGGACAUGUGUUGUGUAUCUAUGACUAUAUUCUCUCAAUCUAAUCAUCCAAUUGGUCUCAAAUUUCACCAACACCAAUAUGUCACCAUACUCUUCAAUCCUAAUGAUCAAGAUUUGAAUAUGAAUUUCACCAAAUCCAGUGGUCUUGGGUCCAUCUAUUAAGUUUGAUCGAGUUUGACCAAUUUUAACUAAACUUUAACUACGUCUUUCUCUAAAUUUAACCGUUUGAUUGUGACCAUAAUUUACUAGAAUUAACCUUUCAUUACACUCUUUGAAUCCAACGGUUAGAUUUCAGAUCUAAGUAAUGCACGUGACAGACAUGUGUUGCGUACCUGUAUGGCUAUGUUCUCUCAAUCUGACCAUCUAAUUGGUCUCAAAUUUCACUAAAACCAAUAUGUCACCAUACUCUUCAAUCCCAAUUAUCAAGAUUUGAAUAUGUAUAUCACCAAGUCCAAUGGUCUCGGGACCAUUUAUUAAGUUUGACCUAGUUUGACCAACUUUAACUAAACUUUGACCGUGUCUUUCUUUAAAUUCAACCGUUUGAUUGUGACCAUAAUUUAUCAUAAUUAACCUUUCAUUACACUCUUCAAAUUCAACGGUUAGAAUUCAAAUCUAAGUAUGGCGUGUGAUGGGCAUGUGUUUGUGUACCUAUAUGGUUAAGUUUUAUCAAUCUGACCAUGCAAUUGGUCUCAAAUUUCAUCAACACCAAUAUAUCACCAUACUCUUCAAUUCCAAUGAUCAUGAUUUAAAUAUGAAUUUCACCAAGUCUAAUGGCGUCUUUCUCUAAAUCCAAUCGUUUGAUUUCCAAAGAAAAAAAUGUUUAAUUCCAUUCUUACAUGUGGAUCUCAAAUUGUUUUAUGCCCACGUAUUUAUGAAAAAGAAAUCAUAAAUAUAAUACAAGUGGCAGAUGUAGGAAACAAUUAUUAAAACAAAAGACCCAUGUUAUUAAUAGUGCAUGGAUGGUUAUAUCCUUCAAUGUUUAUAUAUAUAUAUAUAUAUUGAAGAAUCAUAUCCUUCAAUGUUUAGUCCUAUUUGUUAAAAAAUAAUGGACCCACCGUGUGAAUAGUUAACGUAAUUUAACAGUUAACAGAUUUUAAUUCACCAACCAUAUAGUAAUAAUAAUAUUAUUAUAAUAAUUUUCACCAACCGUGAAUUACUUUAAUGCUCUUGGAUUUCCUCUGAGAAAGACUGACUAUUGAGGGUUAUAGUGUAAAUUCGAGAUUCGUCCAUGCUGCUCCAGAGGUUGAAAGUUACAUGUGUGUCUCCCUGCGCAACACUUGAGCACGUGAUAAAGUCUACACAUGCUGGCCUGUUUGAACUUUGAAUGUAAAAAUUAAAAAAUAGGCUGCCCCAGGAAGAAAAGAAGUGGUACAAGUGCACAGCUGUCCCCACGUAACGGUUACAAAGCUGAAAAUUUGAGAUUCUCCCAUAUGAAAGCAAUCACCGUGGCUUGUUUUUUCCCUCUCAUUCUUUCCCUCACAAAAUUUUCCCAAAUGUUGUUUUUCCCACUCACUCUUUCAGUUAGGAUUUCACGAGCUCUCUCCCUCUCAUUCUCACUCUCCCUCUCACAAUACUCUCUCUUUCUCCCUUCACUCAUCUUUGAUCUCUCCAUCGGACCCAUCAGCCACCCACUGCCACCGUCGCCGUCGUUGCCUUCCACUCUCUUUGAAUUGGCUCCCACCUACUACGCUAGCCACCACAAGUUUGAACAAGUAACCCAUUUCUCUUUCUCUCCCCUUUUGUUCAAUUUAAAGUUAUAGUGUUUAGUAAAAUGGGUAUCUUGUUUUGUUGAUGCUAGAAAGUGAGGGGUUUGAGAUGGCACUAAAGGUGUUUGAUGGUUGUUCUCAGUGAAUUUUUGCAUGUGUUAUUUGUUGCAAAAUUUUAGUCUGGAAUAUUGUCCAUAAAUUGCAGUUGUUAUUUUCAACAUCUUAACUAUUAAUGAUUGUUGGUUUGGUUUGGAAAUUUGAAAGCUUAAAAAGUUGAAAUCUAUGCUCAGUUGUCCACUAUAACGGGAGGGAUAGAAAAGAAAGAUAAAAAAAUGUUAGAUUGAUGCUUUUAAAUUGAGUUGGAACUUGCCGACUUGGUUUUUCCCCUAACCAUAUAGAAAUUGAAUUUAGGACAUUUUCAACUCUUCAAAAAGGAACACAACCACGGUGGUGGUGGUUGGACCUUUGAAACAUGUAGUCCAAACUCCUACAAAGAGAGACUCACUCACGCUAGUGCUAUGUGAACAAUAGUGACAAAGGAAAAUUCAUUCAUAUAUAUUAAAAAAAAAAGUGGGAUACACACUUAUUACUUAUUAGACAAUAGUGCAUCUCCAACAAUACCAAUGGCGGCUAAAUGGCCCACAUCUCAGAUUUUGCUAUUCCACCCUCAUCACAAUCCCUUUUUUUAUUUAUUAUUAUUUUUUUUUCCAUAGCCAAUAUAUUGAUAGAGAUUGUUUUUUAAAAACAAUAGAUGUGUUUAAAAAUUGAAAAUUUUUGUUUAAAAACUUUUGUAGAAAUACGUAUGGGUGAAAAAUUGUGUGUAAAUGCAUGAAAUGUUAUUUAAAAACUGAAAAUUGUUGUUUAGAAACACUCACCAAACACCCCCUUAGUUUGACACUUGUUGAAACAUUCUUUAGUCAAGUCAUAUAUUAUGACUAAAAAAACCUAUGAAGCUACUGGCCAGUUUGUGGUUGUUAACUAUGAAGCUACUGGCCAGUUUGUGGUUGUUGCCCUUGUUGGGAAUUCUUUCAUAGAAAAGUUACAAUAGUUUGUAGAAAAUAUGAAUAUCUCUUAGAAUAAAUUUUGUUUUGAUUUUAUUUCUUAAAAUAAUGUUUCUAUGUUAUAUUAGUGGUGUGAAUUCAACACACCAAUCCAACCAAUUCAGUCAUCACUUGAGCUCUUCCUCAAAAUUUUUUUUUUGGUUCUUGUUUUUGUUUUUUUGAGAACAAAGUCAUCCUUAAACUUAAAGCUUGACUUAGAUUUAUUAGUAGAUUUUUUUUGUAACGCCUAACUUGCUGUAGCAUUAUAGAAACAAUCUUUGUGAGAGUGAGUCAUGUUCAAUGUUUAGUUUGCUUUCUUAAUGGACUAUUUCAUGUUCAAUGCUUAGGAUGCAGUUGCUUUCAAUAAUAUGCGAAUUUUUUUUUUUUUUUUUUUUUAAAAAAAUUUAGAAUUAGAUUGAUUCCACAUGGACCAUCUUUCUUGCAGGGUUUAACGCUUUUUUGCAGGAAAGAUACAAGUCUUCUUUACUGUUAGGUAAAUCAAUGCUUGUGAAAAUUCUCAAUAUCAGUACUUAUGUUCCUGUGAUAUGAUAUAGCUGUAUACUUAUCCCAAAAAAAGAAGUUCCUGUGAUAUGAUACAACUGUCUUUAUCCAAAAUUAUAUUAUGAGGUUUAUGGGCAAAGAGUGUGUGAUCCUUUUUUCCAUUCAAUUUAACCCUCAUUGUCAAAUAUGUUAGAUUUUACCAAGUGUUCAUAGUAUUGGUAGAUUAUGUUUUUUGAAAAUAAGAUAGGAAUAAGGACCUCCUUUUAUAGCCCAAGCUACAGGGCUUUUUGUUGGAACCUGACAGAAAAUAAAAAAAUAAAACAAGAAAAGAAAAAAAAAGAGGUGAAUACAAUUCUCAAUUUGAUUUUAUAUAUACUGAUCAAGUCUAAUCUGGGAGUGCACUACUGAAUAAGCUUUCAAUUAGUGGGUACCUACUUAUGGUAGGUUUGAGGAAUAUAUGUUGAGCUUUUCUACUUGUGGUGCAAUUUUACUUCAAAUUUGGCCAAGGCAUUACAGAGUUUUAAUACAGGUAGAUAUCAAUUAAGAUGUGAUUUAUAAGAAACAAAUGGUUGGGAGGUAAACCUUCUUAAAACUAAAAUGUUAAUAAUUUUGAACACAAAUAUCUUUUGAUACGUUCUUUGUUAUGAUUGUAAUAAUUGUUAAUUUGGACUUAUUUCUUUUGGAGAAUGAGUCUUGAUGCAUAUUAAGUUUUGUUAAACACAUAAAGCUUUCAUAUCUUCUUAGCUAUGGUAUUUUUUAAAAACAUAAAUGUUAAAAUUUUACUUGGAUGUUAAAACUAUUUAGUAAGCAUUUUUGUCAUCUAUUUUAGUUAACAUUUACAUUGAUUUAUGCUCUUUAUUUCAGGUCAAAAUGUCACAUGCCUUGGGCUAUAGAUGAUGUCGAGGCGAGAUCUAUUUCAUUGUAACAAAUUUCAGCUUAGUUGCAUAUUUUCAUGAGGAAUUCAUUAUCAUUUGAUUAGUAUUCGAGUGAAUAGAUUGGACCUUAUAUUAUGUAUAUGAUAUUGAACUUGGGUAUUAUUUUCCCUUAUUAGUAGUUAUUGAUUGAGCAAUUGUUAUGUUUAUAUGAGUAUUUGUGAUUGAAAAUUUUUUAUGUGCAUAGGAUUGUGUUUUGUUAUUUCCCAACAGAUACCCAUGUAAUAUUCUGAAUGUAAAUUUUAAAGAAAAAAAAAUGUGAAAUAUUAUUAGCAACGACAAUGUCAUCGCUAAUAUUUUAUCAUAUCAUUAGUGAUGACAAACAAUAUCAUCGCUAAUAUGCAAUUUUUAGUGAUGACAUGUUUGUGGUCACUUAUAUAUCAUUAUCUGUGAUGAUAGCAAGUGUCGUCGCUAGUAAUGACAUAUUAGUGACAACAAAAAUGUCAUCGUUAAUAAUAAUCUACUAGCGACGACAAAAAAAUUCUUCAUUACUAAUGAGAUAGUAGCAACGACAUUUUGUCUGGGGGUCUCGAGUUAUUUAUGACGACAAUUGUCACUAUUAGCGAUGACUUUGUAGUUGUUAAUAGUAUUGUGUUUGUGACGACAUGUAUAUCGUCACUAAAAAGCUUUUUAGUUACCACUUUCGUUUAACGAAAGUUAGCGACGACAUUUUUCGUCGCCAAUAUAAUUAGCGACGAUAUUUAAAGCAUUAGUGACGACUAUAUGCCAUCGCUAAAGACCAAAUUUCUUGUAGUGCUCCUUGUUGCUUUCUUUUCGCAAUAGGGCUUGAUGUUUCAAUUUUUCGUUUUGGCCCUUUAGAUUUGAUUUCAUUUGCAUACUAACCCUUCACAUUUGAUUUAAUGUUCCAUUUAGCCCCUCAUGUUUGAUUUAGUUUUCUAGUUGACCUGUUAUGAAAACGAAAAUUUUGAAAUGUAAUGGACCAAAUGGAAAAAUGAAUCAAGCAUAGGACCAUUAUGAAAAUUUUGAAAUAUAAAGGGCCAGUGUGGAAAAAAAAUCAAACAUGCAAGACUAAAAUAAAAAAUUUUAAAUGUAAAUUGCUAAAAUAAAAAUAAAUUCAAAUUUUAAGAUUCAAACGUGUUUUUAAGUCUGCAAUUUCAUAGAAGAUAUGAGUAGAAAAUAGGUAACUAGAAUCGGUUAAAGAUUAUUGGAAAUGAAUUAUAGCUACAAUGUCGUUAUUAAAUUCAAAACCAUAUUCAAGUGCUUGUACUCAAAUAAACCGCUUUUACUUUUCUAAGAAAUCAAUGUCCAUUUGGAAAUAGUUUAUCUUGUUUUUUCUAAAAAUGUGCUAAAAUAUAUUUGUAGAUUGAAAAGUUUUAGAAAGUGAGAAAAUGCAUGAAAAAGUGAGGUUUUAAAAUUUUUUACAUAAAAGAUAAAAGCUGAGUUUAUAAGAUAAUACAAAACAAACACUCAAAUGAGACCACUUCAUAGAUCGAUCGUAAGUUCCAGAUAAGUCAUGGAAAGAAUUGUAAUUGCUCUUUGAGAAAUGUUAAGUCUAUAAUAUUUUCACAACAAAUUUUAAGUAACCAACUAUUACUAAUGGAUAAAAAAAGUGACGUUAGUAAUAGACUUAUAUUAUAACCGGUAUCAAACCUCUUUUAUAGAGUAAAGCAACAGGUAACUUUCUGAGUGCUUGAUGGACAGUUUUGUUUUUACCUAUCUAAUUCCACCGCUAAGGUGGAAUCUUCCAAUUUAUAGUGGACCAAAGAAAUCUUUCAACUUCAUCAUUCUAAUUCUUUUAAAAACAAUUUGAUUUCAAUUAUAUGGGCAUCCCACUUAAUAUUGCCUAUUUUGGUGGAGACUCCAUCAAUAAAUUUAUAUUGACAACAUGUCUAUCACAGAAACCCUAGCACGCCUCUAUAAAUUGGUUAAACUUCUUCCUCUACCGUAAUAAGGUCCCAAAGCAUUUUACCCUCUAGUUGGGUAAGUAAAUCUUCUUCACUUCUUCCAAAAAUAUAUAGAUAUUUAAAAGAUUAAAACAUUGUUUUUUCUUUUCUUUUUCUAGUUGAUUAUCCUAGUUCCCUUACUUAAGAAUAAUAAUAUUGUUUCUUCCUUCUUCUUUGUUUAAUCUUUUAAAAUUUUUGGUUUUGAAUGGCAGCGACAGUUAAAGUUGAAAAAUGAGGUUUCUAGAACUUGCUUUAGUCAUGAUGAUGAUGAGCUCUUGUUUGGCCACAAAUCGGAAAACUAA
rnacentral:sRNA from 1 species